CCCAACCGCUCCAGGCGUGUCUCCAAGGCAACAAGAGAAGGUUGGUGUCAGGGAGGUGCUGCAGCACAGGUGCACCCACUGCUCAGAGGCACCUGCUGGAAGGAUCUGCCAUGGCAAUCUUCUGGGUGCUCCUCUUGCUGAUGGCAGCUGUUGACAUCAACCAGCUGCUCUUCUACUCUGAAGCGAAGGGAAUUGUUUGUGAGAAAGAAAGAAGGGAAGAAAUCCUUCAGAAGCUGAAGGAGCAGGAGGCGAGCAUUCGGCUGCUAUACUCACGCUUGAAGAAGGAAAUUGCAAACCUAGAAGCCAGGCAGGAGGCUGUGACAAAACCUGCAUUAGUUCUGAAGAGACAGAUCAGCCAGUGCAUAUGCAAAGUCCUUUCGUUGGCUGUCGAAGCUCUGGGGAUAGCAUUUGCAGGAGGUCAUUUGUCAGCGCAGUGGAGAAGAAGACACUGACACAGUAUUCCUGGCGAAAGCAUGGAAAGGAGUGGCCUUCCCUGACAACACUCUAACUAGGGAAAUUCACAUCCACAUGGACAGAACUCUAGCAAAUCUUUGUUUAGUUACAAGGAGACUUGUUCCAUUCCUUUGAAAUUACAUUGGUCCACUAACAAAAACUCUGUGCUUUAA